AUUAAAUGUGGAAAUAAGCUUAAACAUGAAAAUAAGGCUGAGGGGCCCUCAGCCUCGUUUUCGUGUUUAAGCUUAUUUUCACAUUUAUUGGUCAAAA